GGAGAAGUGCGGUAUGGUUCA
rnacentral:siRNA from 1 species